CUUGCUGGGUGGAUUAGUGGCGAACGGGUGAGUAACACGUGAGUAACCUGCCCUUAACUCUGGGAUAAGCCUGGGAAACUGGGUCUAAUACCGGAUAGGAGCGCCCACCGCAUGGUGGGUGUUGGAAAGAUUUAUCGGUUUUGGAUGGACUCGCGGCCUAUCAGCUUGUUGGUGAGGUAAUGGCUCACCAAGGCGACGACGGGUAGCCGGCCUGAGAGGGUGACCGGCCACACUGGGACUGAGACACGGCCCAGACUCCUACGGGAGGCAGCAGUGGGGAAUAUUGCACAAUGGGCGAAAGCCUGAUGCAGCGACGCCGCGUGAGGGAUGACGGCCUUCGGGUUGUAAACCUCUUUCAGUAG
rnacentral:rRNA from 1 species